rnacentral:tRNA from 1 species
GGGUCGUUAGCCUCAGUUGGUAGGAGCAGCCGGACUUUUAAUCCCGUUUGGGUCCGCAGGGUCGAAUCCUGCACGGCCUACCA